CUCAAUUAGUAAAAUUUUGGAAUGGAAAAUAGCAUGAAAAAUAACUUAGAAAGCUUUUGUGAUGGAAACUAUAGUCACAGAAUUUUUGGGAGGUAUUUUAUUUUAAUUGGUAAGUAGACUAUAAAUGAACCGGCUCCCGCAGGAAGUCAUCAUGGCCGACAGCGUUGAGGCCUUCAAGAGGGCCCUUGCGACAUCAUCCCACUAAGCUGCAACGUUGUUUUUAUUUGCUUUUACUCUGCACUGUAAAUAAUUGAGCGCCACAGACACCACCUUGUAUAUACACCAUUGUACGGCGUUGGGACCUGUACAAGAACGGAAGAAGAGUAUUUUUAUGACCAAUAACUACAAUUAACUUAAUUAAAUAGGUAACAAAACAAAUGGGAUUAAAACAUUUAUUGCAAUGCAACUUGUAUAUAAAUAUAUGUAUUCACCUUGCAGAAAAGUUCAUUUUGAACUAAUUAAAAAUUUAUUGAAAUAUUAUAGUAACACCAAAAAGAACCACCAAAAAGAACAUCACUAACAGUAGUUGCAUAGAUAAUAUUCCAUUUUUUCCACCUGGCUAUUAACGGGUGAUAAAUUAAUCUACUGCAGUGGAUAUGUUGCUUGUCACACAACAGGAGGUUACCACACACUAAUAAGAUCGCGCCUGCUUUAUAUUUAGAAACUCCACCAAGAGGUCAGCCAAUGAAAAUAAAGUCAGUGAACUACUUCUGGGGGCUGUGCAUGUGCCACAAAAAGUAAUCCUUAACUUUUUUUUAUCAGAGUAAUCUUUAAAAUUUAUGUGUAUCUAAAUGGAAUAAAAUCUUAUUCUAGUACAGAAAUAGUUUCAACAUCCUAGAAUUAUCCUUCAUUAGCUGACUGUAAAUGACACAUUUGCCCAAGAAUAUCAAAAUUUCAAAUCUAAUCAGGAAGUUCUUUGAGAGCAGGAUGGAGUUAUUUCACUACAAAGAAGUAUAUUUAUAUAGCUCUUUGUUUACUAUGUGCAGUUUAUAUUUAACAUGGAAGUUUAAGAGUAAUGAAAAGAAUACCAAUGGUGAGUCAAUAUAAUUUAUUCAUUUUCCAACAGUAAUCUAGAUUACCUGUAACUAGUAAAUCAUGGAUUCAAACUGGAAGCAGGUAUAGCACCACAUGUGAAUGUUAGGUAUGGCACAAUUGGGAUCUGAUCAAUGUAUUGUGUUCAAAGAAGACUUAAUGAAUCCAGCAGUUCAAAAACAUGUUUUGCAGUGAGACGAAUGGUGGCAAAUGAUGGCUUUGUGGCGGUUAGUGAAAAACUGUGGCAUUUUACACUGAUGGUGGCUAACAUUUACAGAAAAUUUCUCAACCGAUAGUGACAUUCAGUUGAAAGUAAUAGCAUAUCUUACACCGACUAUACAUGAAACAUGGCAAAAAGUGGAAAAUAUUAAUAUACUUCAAUGACUUUGGACCUGAGUAGAAAAUGGUGACAUUUUAGCACCUUAUUGUGCGUAUACUUUUUCUGGCAUCCGCGCAGUCCGGUCAGGAUCCAUGCUGUUUGCUAAUGGUUUCUCUGGUUGCAAUAGCAUUUGAGAGCGAACAGCAUGGAUCCUGACCAGACCGCGCAGAUGUGCAGGCUGGUCUGGAUCCAUGCUGGUCGCAAAGCCACAAUGUUUGUUUUCUCCUAGCGCGGCUCAUAUAUAAAUUUGUUUCAUGCAUGUAAAUAAUGUUUUGUUUAUGGUAAUUUUUCAGCACAUGUAAAGAAACACUAAAAAAAACAUAAAAUUUUUUGUUAGUGUUUUGUUUAAAUUUGUAACCUAGCUCUUUUGCAUAUCAUAUGUUUUGUUGGUAUUUUGUUAGUGUUUUCUUUAGCACAUAUAAUGAAACACUAACAAAACAUAAAGUAUUCUGUUAGUGUUUUUUGUAUAAACCUGUAACAUAAUUUGCAUAUCAUGUUUUGUUGGUAUUUCGUUAGCAAUGUUUUGUUAGUGUUUUGUUACCUCAUUUGCAUGUCAUUUGCUAUACUAAUAAAACAUCAUCAAAACACAGUAUAGUAUUAGUGUUUUGUUUUAAUGUUUUGUUUCCCCUUUUUUUUCGUUUGGGUUAUUUAUCAAAAUUGAAUAUAUUAGCCACUAAGCAUAUACAACAGCGCCACCACAACUGUACAGCGCCACCACUUGAGUGAUAGCGCCACCACUUUCAAAAAAAGUCGUGUUUUAACUUUUUGCUGUGUUUUUCGUAAUUCUUUGGUGUAUGGUAAUUCGUGUAAUUCAUUUCUACACCAUUUGCAUGCGCAGAUAUGUUCUUACAGUGUGUCUAUUCACCGGAAUGGUGUUCGAAUACUGGCCGAUAUGAAAAUAUGCCACUGUCAGAUUCGGGAGAAAAGCUCCUGGCACCACAAUUUGCAUGAUAUUUUAAUGAAAUAACAGCCAACCUUUAGUUAAAGUGUUGUUACACGGAACUACAUUCUCCGAUUUUCGAAAAACGUUCUAUCAAUAAAAAUAUAAGAUAAAAUAUAAAUUUUACUCACGUUUUUACCAGUAGAAACGGGCGAUAGCUGCACCACGGAAAUGUCGUUAGCUCUUUUCCUUAUCACCACAAUUUGGUGGUGGCGCUAGCGUUUAGUAGCCGUAUGUUUAUGAACGAUAUAACAAACCCUUAGUUUUAGAUUAGUAAUAUUUCAGUAAGAGCUGACAUAAUCACCAGUCUUUCCUCAUAUUUUAAUUUCUUGAUAUUAUUUACACCAAGCUGAUCAACUGACAGAAUCCAAAGCUGACAUUACUCAUUGGAGUACUGCUAUCUGGUUGUGAAAUGUUUAUAGCGGUGAAAUAAAUCAAUCUUUUUUUUUUAAUUCUAUAACAGGACAAACUUGUUUUGAGGGAAGAGGUAUUAUUAAAAUUAUGUUGUACAUGGAGCAUCAAAUUUGUACAUAUUUUUUCAAAAUGAUCUUUUAU